GUAGCACUAGGUACCCCACCUUCUCUUCCUGUUUGUCUUACACUAUAAAUAAAGAGUGCACUGGACUCCAGGCGGCCAUUAGCUCAAGAGGUUAUGGUUCCACCUGGUCCCAGCUUUCAAGCGUAAUCUUGGCCCUGUCCUGGGUGGGUGCUGGGAAUGCUGCCGCAGACGGACACAAGCUGGGUGCUGAGAGUUCAUCCGAAGCGCUCACCUUAAACAGUGCCCUCGCGUCCUGGUCCUCGUUCUCCAGCGUCCAGAGCCGCCUGCGCGCAGCUUCCUGCAGAGCUCCGUUGACACACCUCCUGGAGCGGCUCUUCACACAGAAGGUCAGCGUCAGAUCUGAGAGAACAGGAAGGAACAGGCUGCACAUGCUCAUGCAAUGCAAGAGAACAAAGCAUUAGAAAAACCCUCCGUGUUUCCCCACAGGUCUGGCUAAUUCCUAAAUUGCUGUCCUCAGUAAUUACAGACUAGAGCAGGCUUAAAGAUCCGCCAUGCACGCCAUGCACGCCUUUCCUGGCCUUCUCGGAGUGCAGGGAGGGGGAAGGUGAAGCCCACUGUGGCUCACCAAGGGCUGGAGUUAACCAGUUAACUGGCAUUGAUUAGUUCCCCUUUGGUGCUGACCCAGGACCAACUAGGAUACAUAUUGUUUCCAGUAGUUGAUUUGUGAAAGAUGUGAAUGAACACUAUUUUAUCCAUAUUUAAGAAAAUGUAUUUGUAUUCUAAUUUAUAGUACAUAAUAG
rnacentral:lncRNA from 1 species